UCCCUGGUGGUCUAGUGGCUAGGACUCAGUGCUUUGACCACUGUGGCCCAGGUUCAAUCCCUGGUCUGGGAA